CAGCAGCAGAGGCGUACUGCAAAUUGUUCCAUUCUCUUACAUACAUCAACCCCCCUGGAGAUUGGAGUAGGAAGAGUUGUAGGGCUUGAAAGCCAUGGCAGAUGCUGCUAAGGCAGCUACAGUUUCACCAGCAAGGUCAGAGCCAGGAUUCUGUUGAUCAAGCUUGUAUGCAUUCCGUGGAGUUGUCAUGUCUUCUGCUCUCUCCCAGCAAUAGUGGUCCGAGUCACCAUCUCCAACCUAUAUUUCAGAUCUCAUUACGGCAAAUGCUUUAUAUCAAAUGCAUCCUAGCUAAAGUAAUCAUAUGUGUACGAAACUAACAAAAGUAGCAGAAAUUAUUAUUAUUAUUGUCUCUUUUUUCUUUUUUCAUUUUUGCAAGUACAAGCUGAGGGUAAACCAUUAUGUUUGAUAAAAUAAAAUUUUCACUUGAACUGAUA